rfam:Gongylonema pulchrum genome assembly, scaffold: GPTH_scaffold0021475
UUGCUGUGCAGCGCUAUAGCGCUGCACAGCAAAGACGCAUAAAGAUACAUGUAAAGGGCUACAGAAUU